rnacentral:rRNA from 1 species
AGAUUGAACGCUGGCGGCAUGCCUUACACAUGCAAGUCGAACGGUAGAGUAGCAAUACUUGAGAGUGGCGAACGGGUGAGUAAUAUAUCGGAACGUGCCCAGUCGUGGGGGAUAACGUAGAGAAAUUUACGCUAAUACCGCAUACGAUCUAAGGAUGAAAGCGGGGGACCGUAAGGGCCUCGCGCGAUUGGAGCGGCUGAUAUCAGAUUAGGUUGUUGGUGAGGUAAAAGCUCACCAAGCCGACGAUCUGUAGCUGGUUGAGAGAACGACAGCCACACUGGGACUGAGACACGGCCCAGACCUCCGUACGGGACGCAGCAGGUGGGGAAUUUGGACAAGUGGGACGAAAGCCGUAGACUCCGAGCAAGUCGCCGCGU